rnacentral:rRNA from 1 species
UGCCGGUGACAAGCCGGAGGAAGUGGGGAUGACGUCAAAUCAUCAUGCCCUUUAUGACCUGGGCUACACACGUGCUACAAUGGAUGGUACAGAGAGCAGCGAGGCAGCGAUGUGGAGCGAAUCUCAAAAAGCCAUUCUCAGUUCGGAUUGGAGUCUGCAACUCGACUCCAUGAAGUCGGAAUCGCUAGUAAUCGCGAAUCAGCAUGUCGCGGUGAAUGCGUUCCCGGGCCUU